rnacentral:rRNA from 1 species
GACGAAACGUACGAACGUUAUUCGGAAUCACUGGGCUUAAAGGGUGCGUAGGCGGUGCGGAAAGUUGGGUGUGAAAUCCCUCGGCUCAACCGAGGAAUUGCGCCCAAAACUACCGUGCUCGAGGGAGACAGAAGUGAGUGGAACUUAGGGUGGAGCGGUGAAAUGCGUUGAUAUCCUAAGGAACACCAGUGGCGACAGCGACUCACUGGGUCUCUUCUGACGCUGAUGCACCAAAGCUAGCGGAGCAAACGGG